GAUGAACGCUGGCGGCGUGCCUAAUACAUGCAAGUCGAGCGAACAGACGAGGAGCUUGCUCCUCUGACGUUAGCGGCGGACGGGUGAGUAACACGUGGAUAACCUACCUAUAAGACUGGGAUAACUUCGGGAAACCGGAGCUAAUACCGGAUAAUAUAUUGCACCGCAUGGUUCAAUAGUGAAAGACGGUUUUGCUGUCACUUAUAGAUGGAUCCGCGCCGCAUUAGCUAGUUGGUAAGGUAACGGCUUACCAAGGCAACGAUGCGUAGCCGACCUGAGAGGGUGAUCGGCCACACGGGAACUGAGACACGGUCCAGACUCCUACGGGAGGCAGCAGUAGGGAAUCUUCCGCAAUGGGCGAAAGCCUGACGGAGCAACGCCGCGUGAGUGAUGAAGGUCUUCGGAUCGUAAAACUCUGUUAUUAGGGAAGAACAAAUGUGUAAGUAACUAUGCACGUCUUGACGGUACCUAAUCAGAAAGCCACGGCUAACUACGUG
rnacentral:rRNA from 1 species